CUCUCUUUCCUCUAGCUCGAUGCUCUCCGCCAGAGAGUCUCUGGCUUCUCUCAUUCUCUCUCUCUAAAAUACCCACCCUCUAAAACUCCUUCUCACCUCUCCUCCUCCGAGCCACUUUCUCUAUCUAGAACUCACUCGCCACUGCCUUCUCUCUGAUGGUUCAAUAGGCCGUUGACGACUUCUACGAUUUCGGCGACGGCCAGUCUCGAGGUUGGUCUUAGCCAACUCCUCAUAAGCUCAGGCACAUUCUACACCUAUUGCAUCUGAAGAUCUGCCUCAAAUUUACGAUUUUCAGUUCAAAUCCUAAAUGGUGCGUUUUCCGACGAAUUUACAGAGGCGGCGAGCUCAAUUCCGGCCAGGUUCUGUCAAAUUAGGUGGUAAUAGGCCACUCGAGGCUUGAACCAAAGGAGGAGAGGAGUAGUUGUUUUCAUGGAAGGAAAAGAGCAGCAGCAGCGGAGGAAGAGUAUGCAGAGGCAAACGUGGAGGAGUCGUUGGGGGUCAUCAAUGAGAAAUGACGAUAGGUAGAGAGUGGCACUUUUCUUCAUCAGUUGCAUUCCAAGCAUGCUUUGGGAGAGGUUUGUUACAGACCUGAUUUCGUAUGCUCGGAGUAAUGAACUGAGGAUCUUUAUUAAUCUCGGCAUGCUUAAAUAUCUAUAGAUGUAAUAUGAUUAUAAGAAUAUAAACUUUGUUUAUAUGGUGUUCUAGACAAACACAGCAGUACUGCGCCUACGCUUGAGAGACCUUUUUAAUUUGAUUGAUUUCAGACGUUAGACUUUGUCCAUAUUGAAAUUAUCUUUUGAACAGUGAGCAACCAAUCUUUUGAUAACAAAGAACUUAGCUAUAAAAUCUAACUUC